AUCCUUCCGGUUCAUGACCAUGAUGAAUGGGAUGGACACGCGCCUGCGUGACGUGUGCGCCCUCAGUUACGACAUCGCACAGUCCCUUCUGACC
rfam:Manacus vitellinus contig42499, whole genome shotgun sequence.